AUCAUUCCGAAUUCAGCGAAUAAAAUGCGGCCCAUGACACUAUAGUCUUUAUUAACUGCACCAUAUUCCAUUAUAGUUUAGAUUUUGCACCGCAUGCCACUAUAGUUUGUUUAGCAGUGCUCCCGAUAUCCAUUAGUCGGUUUUCCCAUAUUCAGCCGGUUUCUAUCCUACAUGGACGCCACAUGUACAUUCGAGCCCAAAAUUAAAAAAAUAAAAAUUAACG
rnacentral:lncRNA from 1 species